rnacentral:tRNA from 1 species
GAACUCCCGAUACGGUUGCCCGUAUGCCGCAUUUCGAGUGCGGUGCAUUCAACCACUCUGCCACCUCUCCGGGGUGCGAAGGCCUUGGGGGCCCGC